AUACGUAGGGUGCGAGCGUUGUCCGGAAUGAUUGGGCGUAAAGGGCGCGUAGGCGGCCCGGUAAGUCUGGAGUGAAAGUCCUGUUUUUAAGAUGGGAAUUGCUUUGGAUACUGUCGGGCUUGAGUGCAGGAGAGGUAAGUGGAAUUCCCAGUGUAGCGGUGAAAUGCGUAGAGAUUGGGAGGAACACCAGUGGCGAAGGCGACUUACUGGGCCGUAACUGACGCUGAGGCGCGAAAGCGUGGGGAGCGAACAGGAUUAGAUACCCUGGUAGUCCACGCGGUAAACGAUGAAUGCUAGGUGUUGCGGGUAUCGACCCCUGCAGUGCCGGAGUAAACACAAUAAGCAUUCCGCCUGGGGAGUACGGCCGCAAGGUUGAAACUUAAAGGAAUUGGCGGGG
rnacentral:rRNA from 1 species